GACGAACCGUGCGAACGUUGUUCGGAAUCACUGGGCUUAAAGGGCGCGUAGGCGGGCUGCCGCGUCCGGGGUGAAAUCCCACGGCUCAACCGUGGAACUGCCUCGGAUACUGGCGGUCUUGAGGGGGGUAGGGGCACGCGGAACUGUGGGUGGAGCGGUGAAAUGCGUUGAUAUCCACAGGAACUCCGGUGGCGAAGGCGGCACGCUGGACCCCCACUGACGCUGAGGCGCGAAAGCCAGGGGAGCAAACGGG
rnacentral:rRNA from 1 species